rnacentral:rRNA from 1 species
GACGAACGCUGGCGGCGUGCUUAACACAUGCAAGUCGAACGGAAAGGCCCUGCUUUUGUUGGGUGCUCGAGUGGCGAACGGGUGAGUAACACGUGAGUAACCUGCCCUUGACUUUGGGAUAACUUCAGGAAACUGGGGCUAAUACCGGAUAGGAGCUCCUGCUGCAUGGUGGGGGUUGGAAAGUUUCGGCGGUUGGGGAUGGACUCGCGGCUUAUCAGCUUGUUGGUGUGGUAGUGGCUUACCAAGGCUUUGACGGGUAGCCGGCCUGAGAGGGUGACCGGCCACAUUGGGACUGAGAUACGGCCCAGACUCCUACGGGAGGCAGCAGUGGGGAAUAUUGCACAAUGGGCGGAAGCCUGAUGCAGCAACGCCGCGUGCGGGAUGACGGCCUUCGGGUUGUAAACCGCUUUCGCCUGUGACGAAGCGUGAGUGACGGUAAUGGGUAAAGAAGCACCGGCUAACUACGUG